rnacentral:tRNA from 1 species
GCCCACAUCGCAUAUCGGUAUUGCAGCGGAUUGCUAAUCCGCGCCCUCCGGGGCCGGCAGGUUCGACUCCUGCUGUGGGCG